GAUGAACGCUGGCGGCGUGCUUAACACAUGCAAGUCGAACGGACAGGCCCUGCUCUUGUGGCGUGCUUGUGUGGCGAACGCGUGAGUAAAACGCGUGUAUCCUCUACCUAUCAUUGUGAUAACUUCAGGAAACUGGGGCUCUUACAGGGUAGGAGCUCCUGCAGCACGGUGGUGGUUGGUAAGAUUCGGCCGUUGGGGAUCGACUCGCGGCUUAUCAGCUUGAUGGGGGGGUAGUGGCUUACCAAGGCUUUGACGGGUAGCCGGCCUGAGAGGGUGACCGGCGACAUUGGGACUGAGAGACGGACCAGACUCCUACGUGAGGCAGCAGUGGAGAAUAUUGCGCAAUGGGCGGAAGCCAGAUGCAGCGACGCCGCGUGCGGGAUGACGUGCUUCGGGUUGUAAACAGCUUUCGCAUGUGACGAAGCGUGAGUGACGGUAAUGGGUAAGGAAGCACCGGCUAACUACGUG
rnacentral:rRNA from 1 species